UACGUAGGGUCCGAGCGUUGUCCGGAAUUACUGGGCGUAAAGAGCUCGUAGGCGGUUUGUCACGUCUGCUGUGAAAACUGGGGGCUCAACCCCCAGCCUGCAGUGGGUACGGGCAGACUGGAGUUCGGCAGGGGAGACUGGAAUUCCUGGUGUAGCGGUGAAAUGCGCAGAUAUCAGGAGGAACACCGGUGGCGAAGGCGGGUCUCUGGGCCGAUACUGACGCUGAGGAGCGAAAGCGUGGGGAGCGAACAGG
rnacentral:rRNA from 1 species